UACGUAAGGCCCGAGCGUUAUCCGGAUUUAUUGGGCGUAAAGGGAGCGUAGGCGGUUAGAAAAGCUUGAAGUGAAAGGCUGUGGCUUAACUAUAGUAUGCUUUCGAAACUGUUUAACUUGAGUGAUGGAAGGGAAAGUGGAAUUCCUAGUGUAGCGGUGAAAUGCGUAGAUAUAAGGAGGAACACCGGUGGCGAAGGCGGCUUUCUGGCCAUAAACUGACGCUGAGGUACGAAAGCGUGGGUAGCAAACAGG
rnacentral:rRNA from 1 species